rnacentral:rRNA from 1 species
UACGGAAGGUCCGGGCGUUAUCCGGAUUUAUUGGGUUUAAAGGGAGCGUAGGCCGAAGAUUGAGCGUGCUGUGAAAUGUGGCGGCUCAACCGCCGAACAGCAGCUCGGACUGGUUGUCUUGAGUGCUCGGAAGGCAGGCGGAAUUCGUGGUGUAGCGGUGAAAUGCUUAGAUAUCACGAAGGACCCCGAUUGCGAAGGCAGCUUGCCG